AAUUGGUGGUGUAGGGGUAAAAUCCGUAGAUAUCACCAAGAAUACCCAUUGCGAAGGCGAUCUGCUGGAACUCAACUGACGCUAAGGCGCGAAAGCGUGGGGAGCAAACAGGAUUAGAUACCCUGGUAGUCCACGCCCUAAACGAUGUACACUAGUUGUUGGGGUGCUAGUCAUCUCAGUAAUGCAGCUAACGCAUUAAGUGUACCGCCUGGGGAGUACGGUCGCAAGAUUAAAACUCAAAGGAAUAGACGGGGACCCGCACAAGCGGUGGAGCAUGUGGUUUAAUUCGAAGAUACGCGAAGAACCUUACCUGGGCUUGAUAUCCUAAGAACCUCUUAGAGAUAAGAGGGUGCUAGCUUGCUAGAACUUAGAGACAGGUGCUGCACGGCUGUCGUCAGCUCGUGUCGUGAGAUGUUGGGUUAAGUCCCGCAACGAGCGCAACCCACGUAUUUAGUUGCUAACGGUUCGGCCGAGCACUCUAAAUAGACUGCCUUCGUAAGGAGGAGGAAGGUGUGGACGACGUCAAGUCAUCAUGGCCCUUAUGCCCAGGGCGACACACGUGCUACAAUGGCAUAUACAAUGAGACGCAAUACCGCGAGGUGGAGCAAAUCUAUAAAAUAUGUCCCAGUUCGGAUUGUUCUCUGCAACUCGAGAGCAUGAAGCCGGAAUCGCUAGUAAUCGUAGAUCAGCCAUGCUACGGUGAAUACGUUCCCGGGUCUUGUACUCACCGCCCGUCACACCAUGGGAGUUGAUUUCACUCGAAGCCGGAAUACUAAACUAGUUACCGUCCACAGUGGAAUCAGCGACUGGGGUGAAGUCGUAACAAGGUAACCGUAGGAGAACCUGCGGUUGGAUCACCUCCUUUCUA
rnacentral:rRNA from 2 species